CGACCACCGUCGUCCUUUACCGAAGCCUCAGCCGCCGGUAAUCCUCCCUCUCCUUCUCUCUCUUUCGUUCUCUUAAACUCCUUGGUCUUGGUUGCACACCCAUUAAUAGUUACUCUGUUUUUGUUCUCGCUCAGCCUCCGCGCCACCGCAGUAUCACCGCCCAGUCAUUGCUGCGCCGCCGCGUCCUUCGCCCACACCAGAAACCUCUCCUCUCCCUUCUUUCUCCUCCACGCACGCAACGACAUUCCCUUCUCUCGUUGCUUCUUUCUUCCUGCCCCACAAACUCAGCCGUCGCUGCACGGCCACCGCAACCACCAGCAGCGUCACUCAGCCGCUGCACCACCUGCCCGCUUGUUGCCGCACCACCUUGUCCACCGGCAGCUUCUUGUUUUCUCUCUUUGGUGGAGAAUUCUCCGUAGGCGACUUUUGAAUUAUUAAAGUGGUCUUGCAGUUUGUUUACACAAGUCUCUAAGGAUCAAUAAGCAUUGUCCAUCUGCAGGUUUGAAGAUGUUGCAUCAUUGGGAUCGGGAAUAGAGAGCUUGUAUUUAGUUUUGAUUUGCUAAGUUAACUUGGGUUUGUUAAUUGGGACUUUAAACUUGUCGUACUAUUUAUAUUUCCUUAUUUUCGUUGGUUGAUUUUUGGGGACUAAAUCUGUAAUCGAUUAUUUAUAAACCUAAAGUUAGUUUUAUGUUUUCCGCUGCAAAAUUCUGAAUAAGCCGUUACGUUUUCACA